rnacentral:rRNA from 1 species
CAGUAGCCGCGGUAAUACGGAGGGUGCAAGCGUUAAUCGGAAUUACUGGCGUAAAGCGCACGCAGGCGGUUUGUUAAGUCAGAUGUGAAAUCCCCGAGCUUAACUUGGGAACUGCAUUUGAAACUGGCAAGCUAGAGUCUUGUAGAGGGGGGUAGAAUUCCAGGUGUAGCGGUGAAAUGCGUAGAGAUCUGGAGGAAUACCGGUGGCGAAGGCGGCCCCCUGGACAAAGACUGACGCUCAGGUGCGAAAGCGUGGGGAGUAAACAGGAUUAGAUACCCCAGUAGUCCCUGUCUCUUAUACA